rfam:Leucobacter chromiiresistens strain NS354 contig_56, whole genome shotgun sequence.
UACGGCGGCUAUAGCGUCAGGGAAACGCCCGGUCACAUUCCGAACCCGGAAGCUAAGACUGACUGCGCACCUGA